GGGGGUGACCGGUUUUGACAGCAGGUAGAGUUUGAUUGUAAGCACGCCGAGCAUUGUGUGGGGUCUCGUAAAUCGCAACACUCAAACUACAAAUGGCAAUAAUAGCUAUGCACUCGCUGCUUAAUUUUCAAGGAAAAUUAGCUUAAUUGAUGCACACAAGGUUUGCGUCAACGAGUAUCCUGAACACUUGUCCUGCUCUCUGAUAAGUAGUUCAUAUGGGGUAUCAUCAAUGGAGGGAUAGUGCGAUAUGUGUCUCGGUUAUCGUGCGAAAUUUAGAGGCUGGGGUUAGGGUCUUGGCUGUUGUCUGCCGAACUCUAACAGAAGGAUUAAACGACAACUAAGCGUGUAGAAAGCUUUUGGGUUCCUUGUUUGGACGCGAGUUCGACUCUCGCCACCUCCACAG
rnacentral:tmRNA from 1 species